AGUGAACGCUGGCGGUAGGCCUAACACAUGCAAGUCGAGCGGCAGCACAGUAAGAGCUUGCUCUUACGGGUGGCGGGUGGCGGACGGGUGAGGAAUACAUCGGAAUCUACUUUUUCGUGGGGGAUAACGUAGGGAAACUUACGCUAAUACCGCAUACGACCUACGGGUGAAAGCAGGGGAUCUUCGGACCUUGCGCGAUUGAAUGAGCCGAUGUCGGAUUAGCUAGUUGGCGGGGUAAAGGCCCACCAAGGCGACGAUCCGUAGCUGGUCUGAGAGGAUGAGCGGCCCCACUGGAGUGAAGACAGGGCCCACCCCCCCGCGGGAGCAGCCGGUGGGAAUGUUGGAAAAAGGGGCGAAGCCUGUACCCACCCAGCCCGGGUGGGAAAAGAAGCCUUUGGGUUUUAAACCCCUUUUUGUGGGAAAAAAAAAGCAGCGGGUUAACACCCCGCUGUUCGGACGGUACCAAAAGAAUAAGCACCGCCUAUCUGCGU
rnacentral:rRNA from 1 species